AAUCAUCUCCCAUUGAAAGCUGAAUCAUGAGGAUACCAUCUCCAAGCAGGUGGAGUAUUUGAUCCCUUUAGCAAGGCAGUGAUUUUGAAAUUCGGGUUUAGACAAAAAGAUAUUUCAAGCUCCUGAAGAACAAGUUUGAAGGAUUCAGAGCAGAGAAUUGCACCCUGGCAUGAUGCCUAUGCCAGCUGGACUGUGUGAUUUUUGUUCUUUAGUAGAAGGAUAACAUGACAUAGCAGGAAUAAUACUGCCUUUUCUUUCUGGCAUGGAUCAAGAGAAAAGAAAAUACAAGAAAACAGACAGAAGCAAGGCAAGGUACUUCUAUGGAAGGGUGAGCCCUCACAGAUGGAGCAAUGGGGCGCGCACACCUGAACAAGGGAGGGGAAGGAGUUCUUAUCCCUGAUGCAUGUGACCCCUGCUGCUGUGUCCUUCCCCUAUUGGCUAAGGUUAGACCACACAGCCUAAACUAAUUCCGAUUGGCUAAUUCAAAGAGAGCGACGGGGGCUUCUGACAGCUUUGGAGAUUGUGACAUUGGAAUAAAGGAAAAACGUACAGGACUCAUGAAGCGCUGAAAUGUUCACAAAUAUCAAGCAAAAGUCAAUGAAAUUUAUUUUGAGCUAUUUACAUCAUUUAAUAAUUGAGCAAGGUAUACUCCUAUGAACAAAAUUUGGAGCAUGUUUGUCUCUCUCUGCCUGGCGUCUUCAGAAUUUGGAAACUAGUUAUGGUUUAUAAUCAGCUAUAGAAUUUUAACACGUGCUCUCAAAUGCAAGUUUCUGAUAACUUUGGAGAUUGUGACAUUGGAAUAAAGGAAGAGCUGGAAUGUUCAUGAAUAUCAAGCAAAAGUCAUGGAAAUUUAUUUUGAGCUAUUUACAGCAUUUAAUAAUUGAGCAAGGUAUACUCCUAUGAACAAAAUUUGGAGCAUGUUUGUCUCUCUCUGUCUGCCUGGCAUCUACAGAAUUUGGAAACUAGUUUCGUUCCCAGAUUUCCUAAACUUUCCAGAGAAAAUGGUCUUCUCCCUGGCUCAGCAAGAAGAUGAACUUUAAACACUGAGAAACUGGUCAUCUCCCUGGCUCAACCAGAAGAUGAACUUUAAACACUACUCUCAAUGACUUGAUGUUCCCAUCACUACUCCUGUCAUAAAGGGAGGGGACUCAGAUAUUGAGAAUUUUAUGAUAGUGUGAACUGUCUGGUAUGUCAUUUAAGUAAGCCCGUUGCUGAAAUAUUUUCCAUGUUAUUAGAAAGAGCUGAAGAGAGGGAUUGAGAUGGCUUCUUUAUUUUUUGUCUUUUGGGAAUUAAAGGAACCUGGUUCAACAAGGGCCUACACCUAAGUCUCUUGUUGUACCAGAGUACAAUUUAGGACUGCUCCUGAGGAAGGAAUUAGCUAGAAAUCUAGAGAGUAAGGGUAACAGAUUUACAUAGAAUAACAGCCUCAGUAUUUUUGGUUCCUCUCCAGUAAAGAUCACAAAGAAUAUUGCUAAAUCGCUAAAACACCUUUGCAAUAACGUAAGGGCUUACAACUAUAUACCAAUGUAGCUCAGUUACUAAACUGGAGUAAACUAAUUUCUCUUGUGUAGAAAAAUUGGUUGGCUGUGGUUUUAUAGCAGAUCUGCAAUUAUUAAUAGUUAUGCCAAUAAUCGUUUAACAGUGCAUAUGUUAAUAUAUAUGGAAAGACAAUGUGUAUAGACAGAUGUGUAAAAUUGAAAAAUAAACAUAUAACAAGAGAGAAACAUCUAUCGAACAGACAAUAUACAUACACAUCAAACACAACAGCAGUUUUAGUGACCAUAAUAUUUAUUUCUCAUUUUUACAUUGCUUACUUUAGUGACAACUGAAAAUGACAGUUGGCAAUGCAGCUAACAGUUUCAAUAAAAGUAUAAAACAAAAGACUGUGUACAAAGCACCUGUCUUUCCGCUUUUGUAAUCUUCCGUUGGAAAAAAUUUACACACCUAAGUAACCAUCUGUUUUCUUCAAGAAAAAAUCAUUCUUAUUUCUCUCUCUCAUCUUGAAAACAGCUGUCAGCCAGGAGGGCAGAGCUGAAAUUUAUUGCCACAUCACAUGAAGCAUAGAACAGACUCCACUACUCCUUGAGAUUCAAAACUUUGCCUCUCACAAAGUUACCUUUUAUUUUCCUCUUGUUUGUCACUCAUCUCCCCUAGUGUGCUCUUUUUAUUUCUUUUACUAUUAAUAAUAAAAUCUGUGGAUGACUGUA
rnacentral:lncRNA from 1 species